UCUCUCUCUCUUGCUUUCUCUUUCCCUCUCAUCUGCCACUCCAUCAGCUACUUUAGGUUUUGUGAAUGAGUGAGGGAAAAAUAGAGAAAAGAGAAAGAAGAAUAAGAAAGGAAGAGUGGAGGAAAGGAAAAAAGAAUGGAGAGGUUUUACCCUACUUGGAAUAAAAUUCUUUCUAGUAGCUAUCCAUACCUGCUCAUCUAUCCAGAACUACAGAGUAGAAGGGAUCUUUGAGUUCAUCUUACAGGCCCACCUGGCUCCUUUCACCUUUCUUACACAGGUGACAUUCCCAGAACCUGGAGGCCAGGCUAUGACACAGAGUCAAUCAAUAACCAGGGAGAUCUGUGAUAUAGCCCAGUAGGUGGGGCCUUGCUGCCAUCUGCCAUAUGACCCUUCCAGUCCCAGGCUUCUGAAGAGACGUGGUAAGUGCGGUGCAGUUUUCAACUGACCUCUGGACGCAGAACUUCAGCCAUGAAGGUAACAGGCAUCUUUCUUCUCAGUGCCUUGGCCCUGUUGAGUCUAUCUGGUAAGUAACACUGGAGCUGACUCCCUGGGAAGAGAGGCCAAAUGUUACAAUGAACUUAAUGGAUGCACCAAGAUAUAUGACCCUGUCUGUGGGACUGAUGGAAAUACUUAUCCCAAUGAAUGCGUGUUAUGUUUUGAAAAUCGGAAACGCCAGACUUCUAUCCUCAUUCAAAAAUCUGGGCCUUGCUGAGAACCAAGGUUUUGAAAUCCCAUCAGGUCACCGCGAGGCCUGACUGGCCUUAUUGUUGAAUAAAUGUAUCUGAAUAU
rnacentral:lncRNA from 10 species